CAGUCGCCGCGGUAAUACGAAGGGGGCUAGCGUUGUUCGGAAUUACUGGGCGUAAAGCGCACGUAGGCGGAUAUUUAAGUCAGGGGUGAAAUCCCGCAGCUCAACUGCGGAACUGCCUUUGAUACUGGGUAUCUUGAGUAUGGAAGAGGUUAGUGGAAUUGCGAGUGUAGAGGUGAAAUUCGUAGAUAUUCGCAGGAACACCAGUGGCGAAGGCGGCUAACUGGUCCAUAACUGACGCUGAGGUGCGAAAGCGUGGGGAGCAAACAGGAUUAGAGACCCCGGUAGUCCCUGUCUCUUAUAC
rnacentral:rRNA from 1 species